CUCGGACUUAUUUCGUUAGAAACUGGACGAAAAAGAUUGUCAGCUUGAAGGUAUCGGUACGGUUGAAAUUGGCAGGAUCGAUGGAGCGUAUCUUGUCGACUCGAGUAAAAAUGAUCGACUGCAAGCAAAGUUUCUCAGCUGUUCGGCGUCUCGUGUUUCAGCGGGUGAUCCGAUUCGCGAGUUUUUAAUGCGUUUACCGAGGCAAGCUAUGGCAAAUCCGAUUCAGCAAAGCGAAGUGCCUCUUGAAUAUGGAUGAGAUUAACGGCCCGAUGUAAGAGAACAUUUGAAACCCUCCGCCUGCCCCCACUGCGAUAAACAGCCCUCUUAUAUCAUAAACUUUUCGAUAUAGUAUACUUUCUAACGUUUAUCCACUCUAGCAAGUCUUCCUCCUUCGUUCUGUUACCGGAAGCAUAUUAGAAAAUUUCGAUAAGCGAACAUCCAGUCAACGAAUACAAAGACAGCAUCUUCGACUUUAUUAAUUUUAUUAAUAUCUCAAAUUUAUGGUAAAUAUAAAUAAUAUAAAUUUUGGAACUCGAUUUCCUGGAAAAUGAAACCUUGAAAGAAGAAAUUUUAUUGCAUAUUUUGUUCUUAUUUCGUUUGUAUAUAAAUAUAAAUAUAUAAAAAAAAGGGGGAGAAAGAGAGAGAGAGAGAAAGAGGAAAAUUUAGAAAUGGAAAUAAAGUUAGAAUUAUGGGAGAUAUUAGUCGGCGAAGGUAGAGGAAAAAGGGGAAUAAAGGCGGAAAGAAACUCGAUGUGAAAUUCGUUUUAUCGCGUACGAUCGACGUUGUUCUAUUCCAAGCGAAAGAAACGCUGUGACCGCGUAAUUUUCCUUAGAGCUCGCCCGAGUUUUCCCCGACCACCGGUUCGAUAACAUCUUUGUGAAAAUCCUGGUCGCGAGCAACGCGGGUAUUUCUCGAUCAACCGAUAUGUGUGCUGUUUCGAACACGUUCUAUUAUUGUCAACUAGAACGAUUUAGACCGGAUUUAUCUAACGUUUCGGCGAAAUGCUAUUUCGAAAGAAGAAAUAUUCUGAUUCCGCAACAUUGGUUCAUCUGUUAGAAACUUGCUACUAUACGAACGAUAGUAUAGCAAAAGUAUACGAACGCUUACCAAUUAGACAAUUACUAGAAUUAGGCAAUUUUUAUGAACAUGUUCCGUGCGUUGUAAGGAACAUGGAGCAAAUAUUUGUACGUUAAUAUUAUUUGUAAAUCGUGUAAGAAGAAUAGUAACUUGGUUACGCGAUAUGUAAUUCAACAUUUUAUGAUAGAACAUUCUUAUGUUCAUUCUGUAUAUAUUAAAUAGAGUGAAUUUUAUAUUGACAUAUUAAAAUUGUUAUUAUGAAAAACUAUUAUGUAAAACUAUCAUGAUUAUAUUCAUAAAAUUCCAAGUCAAUCUGAAACUGUACAUAUGGUACGUAUAAUAUAAAACAUAUUAUAUAUUGACGUAUUAAAAUGUAGAAUGUCAUGUACAUAUUGUAUGUGUUACGUAAAAUUGUCCUGAUUACAUUGACAAAAUUUAAGUCCAUCUGAAACUGUACAUAUCGUAUGUAUAACAUAAAACGGAUUAUAUAUUGACAUAUUAAAAUGUAUUAAAUAGCAUGUACAUAUUGUACGUGUUACGUAAAAUUGUCCUGAAUGUAUUGAUAAAACUUCAAGUCAAUCUGACACUGUUAUAUGUAUAACAUUAAAACAUAUUACACAUUGACAUAUUAAAAUGUAUUUCAUAUUAUGUGAAUACUGUAUGCGUUAUAUAAAACAUUUUGAAAUUUUAUCAUUAUAUUUGGAACGACACAAGUCUGUUAUAAUUAUAUUGGUUAAAUUUCAACGCGAUCUAAAAAUGUACAUAAAAGUUACCAAAUAUCUACUGCAAACAUGUAUUUAAUAAGAACCAACUAUACAAUAUGAACAGCAAUCUUGUGCACAUAAUAAUUAUUGAAUAUGGCUCUGAAUACCAAGACCAAUAUAAUUGAUAUAAUUGUUCAAAUAUUGCUACGACCUCUGUGAAAUAUAUUAUUAUUAUUAUUUAUUAUAAUCCUUGUCUUUAACUUAGAAUGGCUUCCAGCUUACUCUCUACAAAAUACUAUACAUAUACAAUAAUUGCACUAGAUAUCGUGCAGUUUACUUCACACAUUUUCACAUUUGCUUCAUACUUUACCAAUAUAAUUACGAUAAUCGAGUCUCGACUUAUGACAUCAGCGCUAAUCAAAUUGUAAAACGUUUCGUCUAACGCACCUGCUAUACUCGUAAAAAUCAUCUACGAGUGUCCCAAUACUUCCAUGGGCAAUUGUACGUUUAUUCUAAAUUCUCACGUGUAUUCUACGUUGUGCCGCACGUUUAUUUAAAUUUCUAUAAACACGCUCGAAUAUUUCCACGAGCGAGUCCACGUUCGUGUUUUAAUCGCUGCGUCGUGUCGCACGUUUAUUUCAAUUUCUAUAGAAGCGCUCGAAUAUUUCCGUGAGCUCGCUCACGGAAUUUCUAAUUUUCUAAUUUUCGCGGAAUUUUCACGGUCUAUUCUAACUUCUAUAGAUCUUCGAGCAUAUACUUUCACGGGCAACUGUAUGUGCGUGUAUCCCAACAUCUACGAAUGUUCGAACACGUACCGUCACGAGCAACAGUACGUUUGCUUCUGAUUUCAACUGAGAUGAUAUUGGGUGUACUGUGUUAAAUAAACGCUCGAUGUUUAGGUCAAUAAUGUAUUUAUUAACAAGUGUCUUCUUUUGAUCGCGUCGCAUAUCACUCUCGCUUUCGCUAGUCAAUCUCGUUGCCCGGCUACAACUCGACUUUAUCGCUUCCUAGUUCGAACCUAACUGUCGGUCGGAUUCGAUUCUUUUCCUUUUGCCGCCCUUCAAUAUCCCCACUAUCCACGCGUUUGUUAGGCGUUCGCAACCGUUGCCACGCACGCCUUCUCGAACAUUCGGCGGAAGGACCGUUAGGAUAUUGAUGGCUUAUUAGGCACUUCGCUUCGGCGAUAUACAAUGUUGCCAAGUGUCGCCACACUACGAAUGCUCAAGUAUGUCUUUCACGAUCAACUUCGCGUUUCUUAUAAUUUUUUACUUGGUGUCCCGCAGGUCGGCUAUUAAUUCCUUGCAGGCUCGUUAUAAACGUUGACGAUGUUUUAUCGUCGACAGGCAAAUAUUUCCUUCCUGGCUGCGGGGCAAACGAGCAAUAAGCCCGAUAAGAUUGGACAUCGGCUUACGGACGUGCACCCACCACCACCCACACGUCCCUCCAACAGGCUGAUUUAUGCGUCGGUUAAACUACUUUCGAGAAUCAUAGUCGGGGCUUCUGAUGGCUAAAGCUCGGUUUACGUUCGCUGAUCAACCUCGAAGCCUCUGCAAUUCGUACCUGCUUCUCGUUUUUAACGCGAAAAAUAAGCGGCGAACAGUCCGGUAUCGUUGAUUUCUCCAGUCUUUUUAUUUGCUGCAUUGGCCACAGAUGUUUAUAGAAUAUUCGCCUACUUUUGAUUUACUCGUUUUAACCAGUCAACUGUUACCCGUGUUCUUGACGAGCACACUCGUCACGAAGAAAUGGAAAUAUUUUUCACCACGACGAGUAUAGUCGUCAUGAGUAAAAAGUAGUUAGAAUUUGCUGUUUAAAUUGCAAUUUUAGCGACAACUAAAAUAUAUUGGUAAAUUUCAGAAUGUUUCGAAUACUUCGAGGCAAAGAAAUAAAACAAACAAAAAUGAAAAAAUAUAAAUAAUUAUUGUGAAAAAAAUGUAUAUAAUGUGAACAAAGUAGCUGUCACUUCCUUUGUUCUCCGCGACGCAUUUCAGCUGCACAAGCUUUUCAAAGAGGUCGCAACAGUUAAUUAGUUAAAUUAACUGUAUUCAUAAAGGUAUUUACGUACAUUACAACAAAUAAUUAUAAACGUUUUUCGUGAUUUUUUGGGGAAAACAUAAACAAACGUAUUUUUCUUUUCUAAUUCUACAGCUUCUUCUUAAGAAUUAUUUAUUUCAAUUAUUUAUCUAAAAUUACAUUAGAUGCAUAGAAGUGAUCAAUUUUUCUUCGCAUAUGCGUGUAGUAAAUUGCGCGUGCGAUUGGCUAAGUGUUAAAUCAAACUACGCAAACCUCUAAACUCUCUUUUUUUUUCUUUCAGUCAAAGAUGUCUUUAUUUUAAGCAUUAGUGCCUCAGCGUAGUAUUAGCUUCGAUUUCAUCAUUUUCCAUCGCAGUGUAUCGAUAAGUGCGUCAGCAGCGUUGCUUAAACGACCGGCACAUACGUACACGCACGUCACAUACAUACGUCAAUAAUCUCGAACGUAUUAAACGCCCUCUUGAAACCUUAAUUAAACACAUCGAUUAAAUUAUCCUCCGUUUAUUAUUGGGUUGGCAACUAAGUGAUUGCGGAUUUUGUCAUGAGCUGGUAUUGACAAAAUCUGCAAUCACUUAGUUGUUAACCCAAUAUAUCUCCUUUUAUAUUAACGCUUUACCGACCGAUAGUCAAUUAAUCGGUCUUAAAACUUGCCGUUCGCGAUGAACGAAAAGAAUGGUAUGGGAGAGUCUAAACCGAAACAGAGCUAGUGCUAGGGAGAAUCUGCGCCUGAGUUACCGGUCAGACGUGCGUAUGCUGUUGAACCGCUAGUGGUCAAUAAGUGUUAAUCAAAUCGAUGGAAAUCGAUGCGAGGAUCUACUCGAGAGAAACAGAGAAAUAAGAAAAGAGAGAGAGAGAGAGAGAGAGAGAGAGAUGAAAGGGACAGAUGGAAAAGAAUGAUCAAUAGGGUUAAGCAGAGAUUGCUAUCUUCUUAGGUUAACGUAGUUACGGCCACGUAACAGAGCUGUAAAAACGGCACCUUGAAUACGACCAUUGACUAUGCCUCGCGGAAGAAGGUCGGCCAGCUUUAGUUGGCGUUAUAUUUAUCGCUGCGCGUAAUCGAUAGUUCGUCUCCCAGGUAAACAGUGUAGGAGCAAUCGUUAUUUCGGGGAGAAGAGCAUGUCGCCGCAUGGCCCCGUACUUGAACCACUUUCGGCCUUUCCUUCAAUUCUAAACGCGAUUAAGCCCAGGGCUUCGCGCGUCACUCGGCCGAACAUCCUUUCGCCAGCAUUCUUUCGCGCUAACAUUCACCAACCGUCUCCGAUCGUUUUACUCUCGAAUAGCAGUUUAAAAGCAGCGUAUCGAGGUUUAAUUUAUUUUAUUGCAUUCAAGUGGCACUGACAAAAUCCGCAAUCACUUAGUUGCCAACCCAAUAGAAUUGCCUCGUCCCAUGGGUUUCGGUCCCAUAGAAGUACGUCAUCGAGAUCAUCAUUUUUGACAACAUUUUCCCGUACGUAUGUAUAGAGUGGUCGAUCUUAGCCUUCGGGUUAUACGAAAAAGUAUGUCACAGCGACGUAUAAAGAAUGAAAAAAGUAACGAAUAUUGCAAUAGUCACUAAAUCUCGAAGGAAACGGAGUUGGUUAGACUAUGAAACUGGUGGUAUAAAUGAGUAAUUUAAAUCUGGUGAUAUAAAAAAAAAUUCUGAGGGAUCGCUAAACCAGUGCCAAAGUAACAGCUUUCUGAUAUAAGUAGGUUAAUAGUUUUUUCAGAAGCGAUACCGAGAUGGAUCGAUCGAUGUAUUCGAAGAUAUAUGAUUCUCUAUAAAAAAAGAAAAAAACGCCGGUGACCUUGGUACGUCGUCUGCGCGUUUACCUACGAAGAAACUAGUCCCGUCAGAUUAUGAUGUUCCCCUGGAAACCAUUAAAUCUGUAUCAGAAAUAAUUGUUUAAUAUUACCAAAAACAAACGACAUGUUCCAGAUGAUAAAUUUACGUGGUACACCCUGUAUAUGUAUAAUUUAAUCCGUAACAUUUACCUAUCCUGCUAUAUAUCGUACGUAUUAUACUGCGGUAUACCAUGCCAUGGUAGUUCGUCCUGUAUUUGCACCUAAUUAAUUAGGAUACAAAUAUUGGGUUGGCAACUAAGUGGUUGCGGAUUUUGUCAAUACCAUCUAAUGACAAAAUCCGUAAUCACUUAGUUGCCAGCCUUUAAUAAAUACGAUGGCGCGCAGAUAUUCCGAGUAGCACGGUAAAUAGCGCGAUGAACAACGCGAUAGAGAGCAGAAACUGGGAAAUUUGAUAUGUUUCUGUAUAUUUUCGUAGACGUAACUGAAGAGACGAAACUUAAGCAGAAAUACGAUCGCCCAACAAAUAUUACGAUAUUAGGUUGGCCGAAAAAUUCUUUCGUUUCGCAAGGAAAUAAUAGACUCUAGAAUAGAAUUUUCAAAUUUCUUCGCAAACGACGCAGAAAUCCAGAAAUCCGCAGUCUAAACAACGAGACAGGUACAAACGUGUUAAAGUUGACUGAUAGAAAAACGAGUGGAUGAAUUUGUAAUAGAAAAAUACAUUGAAAUAAGUAUAGGUAUAAGUAUAAGUAUAGUGUAUGCUGAUCCAGAUCCUCGCUCUUACAGUAUUACGAUACAAUAGAAGAAGCUUUGAUAGGGAGCACGUUCAUAUGUUGGGUUGGUAACUAAGUGAUUGCAGAUUUUGUCAAUGCCAUCUAAUGACAAAAUCCGCAAUCACUUAGUUGUCAACCCAAUAUUUAUAGCAAAGGACAUUACCAAGGAGUUAACCUUGUAGCUGUAGCUGAAGGCUCCAAGAAACGACAAUAGAAAUCUACUUAUAGCUCUUUUGUUUCUAGACCUUCUAACCCAAAACGUAAUUUAUAUCCAAGAACACGAUAAUAUGGACCUUUUUUUAUUUCGAAUUUUUUAUUUCACUAAAUUCUAUUCUCUUCGUAACAGCGGUGUCCAGGUCAUGGAUAUACAAAAGUAAAGAUGUAGAGUUUUUCUUGAAGUCAUUACUUGAACAAAACGCAAGUUUCAAUACCAUCGAUCGAGUUAGUCGAUUCAAUAGGCGAUCGUGGCAGAGUGGCGCGUGCAGGAGCGCGCACGCACGGCCCGAUGUUUAAUGGACUUUUCUACUUAGAGGCCAAUCAAGUGCUCUGAACCGUGGCGAACAUCUUUCCCCUUUCACGUGAAAGCUCUAAUCUACCCUUGGACGGGAUCAUGCUUCUCGACUCGGUGAAGCGCAACCAAGGAACGCAAACAGGCCAACAUCGAAGAUGCAGGGACUUUGGAAACGUGGUUUAAAGCUGUGAAAGGAAGGUUCGAGCGGAAAUAUCGACCCGCGACUCAGUCACCUGCGUCGUCGCUGUAAAUACUCUACCUGUAACAUUGUCUGGUAUUUGUUGCAUAAUCGAAUUCACAGUGAUUAAUAUGGUAAAUGAAAUUUUCGAGCCAUAAAUAGACUGCGCACUUUUCUGCGUUUCGACCAAGUUGGAAAGUGGAAACUCGCAGAGAAUGCACGUAAUACGAAGAAAUAUUUGAAGUAUCCGAGGUAUAGUGUUUUCUAUAAUGUUCGAUAGGCGAAACGAUUUUCUAGCGAGACUAGCGACACCUUCGAUUAUGUUCCCGGAAAUGUAUAUAAUAAUUUGUAUAAAAAUCUGUAGCUUAGUCGUAAGUUGUUGGGUGAAUGUCGAAUCACGUGUGAGAAUUGAUAUUUUUAUGAACGCGCUUGAAGGAAUGGAAUUGUUAACGCUAUACUUUGAAUAUUUUGUGGAAUAACACGUAGAUAGAUUUGAUAGGCAGAUUUAUUUCGCUGUAUAUACACUGCGUGUGAUUGUUGAUAAUGUAGGAAACUUAUUCCUAAGUGGCACAUUUAGAUUGAUGUAUAGUUGUGAUUUUAAGAUUAUUGUGGGUUAUUGUAAUAUCAAAAUUAUAUGUGUUACAAAUUAUUUAUUUAUCCACGUACAAAUUUCAUUGUAAAUUGUUCUAAUUAUAAUAUUGAAAUAAUCGUGGAGUGUUAUAAUUUUCAAAAUUAUAUUAAAAUUUCUAUACA